rnacentral:rRNA from 1 species
CCUACGGGUGGCUGCAGUGGGGAAUAUUGGGCAAUGGAGGAAACUCUGACCCAGCAAUGCCGCGUGAAUGAAGAAGGUCUUCGGAUUGUAAAGUUCUUUAGUCAGGGAAGAAUAAAAUGACGGUACCUGAUUAAGAAGCCCCGGCUAACUACGUGCCAGCAGCCGCGGUAAUACGGAGGGGGCAAGCGUUAUCCGGAUUUACUGGGUGUAAGGGGAGCGUAGACGGCAGCACAAGUCUGGAGUGAAAUGCCGGGGCUUAACCCCGGAACUGCUUUGGAAACUGUGCAGCUAGAGUGCAGGAGAGGUAAGUGGAAUGCCUAGUGUAGCGGUGAAAUGCGUAGAUAUUAGGAGGAACACCAGUGGCGAAGGCGGCUUACUGGACUGUAACUGACGUUGAGGCUCGAAAGCGUGGGGAGCAAACAGGAUUAGAUACCCGAGUAGUC